rnacentral:rRNA from 1 species
CGGCGAUUUCCGAAUGGGGAAACCCAGUGUGUUUCGACACACUAUCAUUAACUGAAUCCAUAGGUUAAUGAGGCGAACCGGGGGAACUGAAACAUCUAAGUACCCCGAGGAAAAGAAAUCAACCGAGAUUCCCCCAGUAGCGGCGAGCGAACGGGGAGCAGCCCAGAGCCUGAAUCAGUAUGUGUGUUAGUGGAAGCGUCUGGAAAGGCGCGCGAUACAGGGUGACAGCCCCGUACACAAAAAUGCACAUGCUGUGAGCUCGAUGAGUAGGGCGGGACACGUGGUAUCCUGUCUGAAUAUGGGGGGACCAUCCUCCAAGGCUAAAUACUCCUGACUGACCGAUAGUGAACCAGUACCGUGAGGGAAAGGCGAAAAGAACCCCGGCGAGGGGAGUGAAAAAGAACCUGAAACCGUGUACGUACAAGCAGUGGGAGCACAGAGCAAUCUGUGUGACUGCGUACCUUUUGUAUAAUGGGUCAGCGACUUAUAUUCUGUAGCAAGGUUAACCGAAUAGGGGAGCCGAAGGGAAACCGAGUCUUAACUGGGCGUUAAGUUGCAGGGUAUAGACCCGAAACCCGGUGAUCUAGCCAUGGGCAGGUUGAAGGUUGGGUAACACUAACUGGAGGACCGAACCGACUAAUGUUGAAAAAUUAGCGGAUGACUUGUGGCUGGGGGUGAAAGGCCAAUCAAACCGGGAGAUAGCUGGUUCUCCCCGAAAGCUAUUUAGGUAGCGCCUCGUGAAUUCAUCUCCGGGGGUAGAGCACUGUUUCGGCAAGGGGGUCAUCCCGACUUACCAACCCGAUGCAAACUGCGAAUACCGGAGAAUGUUAUCACGGGAGACACACGGCGGGUGCUAACGUCCGUCGUGAAGAGGGAAACAACCCAGACCGCCAGCUAAGGUCCCAAAGUCAUGGUUAAGUGGGAAACGAUGUGGGAAGGCCCAGACAGCCAGGAUGUUGGCUUAGAAGCAGCCAUCAUUUAAAGAAAGCGUAAUAGCUCACUGGUCGAGUCGGCCUGCGCGGAAGAUGUAACGGGGCUAAACCAUGCAC